UACGUAGGGUGCAGGCGCUAAUCGGAAUUACUGGGCGUAAAGCGUGCGCAGGCGGUUUGCUAAGACAGGUGUGAAAUCCCCGGGCUUAACCUGGGAACUGCGCUUGUUACUGGCAGGCUUGAGUGUGGCAGAGGGGGGUGGAAUUCCACGUGUAGCAGUGAAAUGCGUAGAGAUGUGGAGGAACACCGAUGGCGAAGGCAGCCCCCUGGGCUAACACUGACGCUCAUGCACGAAAGCGUGGGGAGCAAACAGG
rnacentral:rRNA from 1 species